rnacentral:misc_RNA from 1 species
AAGUCGUAACAAGGUCUCCGUUGGUGAACCAGCGGAGGGAUCAUUACUGAGUGUAAAAACUCCCAAACCCAUUGUGAACAUACCUCUGUUGCUUCGGCGGAUGCGCCCCGGGCGCGCCCUUACAGGCGUGCCCCGGAUCCAGGCGCCCGCCGGGGAACCGAAACUCUUGUUUUCUUAGAGAAUCUCUGAGUGUGAUUAUAAAUCAAAUCAAAACUUUCAACAACGGAUCUCUUGGCUCUA